UACAGAGGUCCCGAGCGUUGUUCGGAUUCACUGGGCGUAAAGGGUGCGUAGGUGGCGAGGAAAGUCGGAUGUGAAAGCUCGGAGCUCAACUCCGAAAUGGCAUUGGAAACUACCUUGCUAGAGGGAUGGAGGGGGGACUGGAAUUCUCGGUGUAGCAGUGAAAUGCGUAGAUAUCGAGAGGAACACCAGUGGCGAAGGCGGCUCACUGGCCCGAUACUGACGCUGAGGCACGAAAGCGUGGGGAGCAAACAGG
rnacentral:rRNA from 1 species